rnacentral:rRNA from 1 species
GAUGAACGCUGGCGGCGUGCCUAACACAUGCAAGUCGAACGGAGUUCUUAAGGAAUGCGACUUCGGUCAAAUGACUUUUGAACUUAGUGGCGGACGGGUGAGUAACGCGUGAGCAACCUGCCUUUCAGAGGGGGAUAACAUUUGGAAACAGAUGCUAAUACCGCAUAAGAUUACAGUACCGCAUGAUACAGUGAUCAAAGGAGCAAUCCGCUGAAAGAUGGGCUCGCGUCCGAUUAGAUAGUUGGUGAGGUAACGGCUCACCAAGUCGACGAUCGGUAGCCGGACUGAGAGGUUGAACGGCCACAUUGGGACUGAGACACGGGCCCAGACGUCCUACGGGAGGCAGCAGUGGGGAAUAUUGCACAAUGGGCGAAAGCCUGAUGCAGCAACGCCGCGUGAGGGAAGACGGUUUUCGGAUUGUAAACCUCUGUUUUACGGUGACGAACAAUGACGGUAACCGAGUAGGAAGCCACGGCUAACUACGUGCCAGCAGCCGG